UACGUAGGGCGCAAGCGUUGUCCGGAAUUAUUGGGCGUAAAGAGCUCGUAGGCGGCUUGUCACGUCGGGUGUGAAAGCCCGGGGCUUAACCCCGGGUCUGCAGUCGAUACGGGCAAACUAGAGUACUGCAGGGGAGACUGGAAUUCCUGGUGUAGCGGUGAAAUGCGCAGAUAUCAGGAGGAACACCGGUGGCGAAGGCGGGUCUCUGGGCAGUAACUGACGCUGAGGAGCGAAAGCGUGGGGAGCGAACAGG
rnacentral:rRNA from 1 species